UACGUAGGGUGCGAGCGUUAAUCGGAAUUACUGGGCGUAAAGCGUGCGCAGGCGGCGCGUUAAGACAGGUGUGAAAGCCCCCGAGCUUAACUUGGGAAUUGCGCUUGUGACUGGCGUGCUGGAGUGUGGCAGAGGGAGGUGGAAUUCCACGUGUAGCAGUGAAAUGCGUAGAGAUGUGGAGGAACACCGAUGGCGAAGGCAGCCUCCUGGGCCUGCACUGACGCUCAUGCACGAAAGCGUGGGGAGCAAACAGG
rnacentral:rRNA from 1 species